GAUGGCCAUGCGUACCAUUAGUUAGUUGGUGAGGUAACGGCUCACCAAGGCAGCGAUGGUUAGGGGCCCUGAGAGGGGGAUCCCCCACACUGGUACUGAGACACGGACCAGACUCCUACGGGAGGCAGCAGUGAGGAAUAUUGGACAAUGGAGGGGACUCUGAUCCAGCCAUGCCGCGUGCAGGAUGACUGCCCUAUGGGUUGUAAACUGCUUUUAUACGGGAAGAAACGCACCUACGUGUAGGUGUCUGACGGUACCGUAAGAAUAAGGACCGGCUAACUCCGUGCCAGCAGCCGCGGUAAUACGGAGGGUCCGAGCGUUAUCCGGAAUCAUUGGGUUUAAAGGGUCCGUAGGCGGGCCAUUAAGUCAGGGGUGAAAGUCUGCAGCUCAACUGUAGAAUUGCCUUUGAUACUGGUGGUCUUGAGUCGUUGUGAAGUGGCCGGAACAUGUGGUGUAGCGGUGAAAUGCAUAGAUAUCACAUAGAACACCGAUUGCGAAGGCAGGUCACUAACAACGUACUGACGCUGAUGGACGAAAGCGUGGGUAGCGAACGGGAUUAGAUACCCCGGUAGUCCACGCCGUAAACGAUGGAUACUAGCUGUCGGGACCUCGGUCUCGGCGGCCAAGCGAAAGUGAUAAGUAUCCCACCUGGGGAGUACGUUCGCAAGAAUGAAACUCAAAGGAAUUGACGGGGGCCCGCACAAGCGGUGGAGCAUGUGGUUUAAUUCGAUGAUACGCGAGGAACCUUACCAGGGCUUAAAUGUAGUAUGACAGGACUAGAGAUAGUUUUUUCUUCGGACAUAUUACAAGGUGCUGCAUGGUUGUCGUCAGCUCGUGCCGUGAGGUGUCAGGUUAAGUCCUAUAACGAGCGCAACCCCUACCGUUAGUUGCCAGCAUGUAAAGAUGGGGACUCUAACGGGACUGCCGGUGCAAACCGUGAGGAAGGUGGGGACGACGUCAAAUCAUCACGGCCCUUACGUCCUGGGCCACACACGUGCUACAAUGGCCGGUACAGAGGGAAGCCACCCCGUAAGGGGGCGCGGAUCUAUAAAACCGGUCACAGUUCGGAU
rnacentral:rRNA from 1 species